rnacentral:rRNA from 1 species
UACGUAGGUGGCAAGCGUUGUCCGGAUUUACUGGGCGUAAAGAGCGCGCAGGCGGUCGUUCAAGUCGCGUGUGAAAGCCCCCGGCUCAACUGGGGAGGGUCACGCGAUACUGAUCGACUCGAAGGCAGGAGAGGGAAGUGGAAUUCCCGGUGUAGUGGUGAAAUGCGUAGAUAUGCGGAGGAACACCGAUGGCGAAGGCAAUCCCCUGGGCCUGCACUGACGCUCAUGCACGAAAGCGUGGGGAGCAAACAGG